GGUUAAGUACAUCUUGAUAGUGUUUUGGUUGUGUGUGUAUUUAUAAUACAUGGCUAAGACGUGUAGAGUAUUAUGUAUUACAGUAUUAUGUCAAGCGUUGUUUCCUGUUUACAAGGAUAAAUCUGGCCUGGGAGAUUUCCAACAGUCAGAUACGGAAACCAGAUUGAUGUCUGAUAGAUUUGAUAAUGUAUUGUAUGCAUGUAUCCUGAAUCAUCCCUGCUUACCAUAGAUUUACAUAUAAUUUUCAGGCUUAUAAAUGUGAAAGAUUAAAGAACAUUAAUUUUAACAUUCAGAGGUGAAUAUGAUAAGUGAGGAAAGCUUUCUUUCUGAAUGACCAGUUCACAUGAUGUUCAUAUGUGGAUCCAUCAAAGAAAUAACCCUCCCUUUCUCCACUCCAAACAUGCUGAAUACAUAUAGUACUGUCACAAUGUUAAAUAGUGUUCACAAUGUUCAAACUCACCUACAUCAAAAGGAAUAUUUAAACCCCAUGCAACAAAGUUUGUAAGUGCAACUGCAUGGAAUUUAGCCAAACUUUGUAGGCAUUUAAGACACAAUGUGCAGAGGUGCCUAUUACCAGGAAAUUCCGAUUCCAUUAUUUUCCAAGAAUUUCAGCCCUUUUGAACUUAGAAUUUUGGCCCUAUGUUGAAUAUAGUAUUAAAAAGUUUGUAAGCGCAACUCUUCUUAAAUCACAGCAUUGAAUUUGGUGAAACUUUGUAGGCAUUUAUUACACUAUGUGUAGAUGUGCAUAUUACCAGGAAAUUCUGAUUCCAUUUUUUUUCAGGGAAUUUUGAAUAGUUGUUAAAGACAAAUGAAUAGAUGUGCUUAUUUGC
rnacentral:sRNA from 1 species